CCUACGGGAGGCUGCAGUGGGGAAUAUUGGGCAAUGGGCGCAAGCCUGACCCAGCAACGCCGCGUGAGGGAAGAAGGCUUUCGGGUUGUAAACUUCUUUUCUCAGGGACGAAGCAAGUGACGGUAGCUUAAGAAUAAGCCACUGCUAACUACCUACCAGCAGCCGCGGUAAUACGUAGGUGGCAAGCGUGAUCCGGAUGUACUGGGUGUAAAGGGCGUGUAGGCGGGACUGCAAUUCAGAUGUGAAAACCACGGGCUCAACCUGUGGACUGCAGUUGAAACUGUAGGUCUUGAGUACUGGAGAGGCAGACGGAAUUCCUAGUGUAGCGGUGAAAUGCGGAGAUAUUAGGAGGAACACCAGUGGCGAAGGCGGUCUGCUGGACAGCAACUGACGCUGAGGCGCGAAAGCGUGGGGAGCAAACAGGAUUAGAUACCCCAGUAGUC
rnacentral:rRNA from 1 species